AUGAACGCUGGCGGCGUGCCUAAUACAUGCAAGUCGAGUGAACGGACGAGAAGCUUGCUUCUCUGAUGUUAGCGGCGGACGGGUGAGUAACACGUGGAUAACCUACCUAUAAGACUGGGAUAACUUCGGGAAACCGGAGCUAAUACCGGAUAAUAUUUUGAACCGCAUGGUUCAAAAGUGAAAGACGGUCUUGCUGUCACUUAUAGAUGGAUCCGCGCUGCAUUAGCUAGUUGGUAAGGUAACGGCUUACCAAGGCAACGAUGCAUAGCCGACCUGAGAGGGUGAUCGGCCACACUGGAACUGAGACACGGUCCAGACUCCUACGGGAGGCAGCAGUAGGGAAUCUUCCGCAAUGGGCGAAAGCCUGACGGAGCAACGCCGCGUGAGUGAUGAAGGUCUUCGGAUCGUAAAACUCUGUUAUUAGGGAAGAACAUAUGUGUAAGUAACUGUGCACAUCUUGACGGUACCUAAUCAGAAAGCCACGGCUAACUACGUG
rnacentral:rRNA from 1 species